AGUGAACGCUGGCGGCAGGCCUAACACAUGCAAGUCGAGCGGCAGCGGGUUCCCGCGAGGGGAUGCCGGCGAGCGGCGGACGGGUGAGGAACACAUCGGAAUCUGCCUGGUUGUGGGGGGAUAACGUAGGGAAACUUACGCUAAUACCGCAUGCGACCCUGAGUCGACGGACUGGGGGUGAAAGUGAGGGACCUUCGGGCCUCACGCGACCAGAUGAGCCGAUGUCGGAUUAGCUAGUUGGCGGGGUAACGGCCCGCCAAGGCGACGAUCCGUAGCUGGUCUGGAGAGGAUGAUCAGCCACACUGGGACUGAGGACACGGGCCCAGACUCCGUACGGGUAGGCAGCAGUGGGGAAUCUUGGACAAUGGGCGCAAGCCUGAUCCA
rnacentral:rRNA from 1 species